rnacentral:misc_RNA from 1 species
CUGUCUUGUAUUGAUGCUAUAUAGA